CAGCAACUUCUGAGUUCUCUUGUUGGCCCUUUUGCAAAUAGGUAAAUAAGUUACUGGGGAAAGUUCCCAUCGCCAUUCAUUCAUUAAAUUAAUAUCGGUUGGCUCUCUGAUGGGCCAAAUAGGAUUCUAAACAGAGAACAAAAUGAGCUAAAAUCUCUGCCAUCAUGGAGCCUACAUCCUAGUGUAGGAAGAGAGACAAUAAAAGAAAGAAGACUGAAGAUGAAAUCUGGUUAAUGAAUUAUGGCUAAUCAAGAUAUGGUUCCCUGUGAUCCCAGCCUUUGAGGGCUACAGUGCACAUCAUUUGAUGACUCUACAGCUGAUUAUGAUACACACCAAAUAAUUACUGAAAUUCAUCAUCUUGUUUCUGAAAUAAACAUAUCACUAAACUCAACCGUGAUUCAAAAUAUA